AUGACAUUGUCCUUCGGGACAUCCGAUAAAAUUGGAACGAUACAGAGAAGAUUAGCAUGGCCCCUGCGCAAGGAUGACACGCAUAAAUCGAGAAAUGGUCCAAAUUUUUUUUCCUUCCUCGGUGAUCAACGAUCAGAUCUCGCAAAUUUGUGAUUCUGUGGCUCCUACUUCCUUUUUUUACACUUUCUGUUUCUUUCAUCCGUUUGGGUCUUGCUCAAAUAGUAAAGCUUAGAUUUUGCUCAUGUUCUUUUGGAUUCCGGAAUUGAAGCCCGAAACGUUUCUAACUGCUGGAGAUUUUUGGAUGUGCCAAGGGGGGUUAUUUUUCAAGCCACUUAUGAACAUGAUACGGCUUUUUUGUUUAAUCAGCUAGAGGUUCGAGAAAAGAGUGAGGUAUGCCUCUCGGCUCUCGCAAAGCAAGAGCUGAUGUAAGAAGGCGUGUUAAGGGAGGCUUUGUCAAAGCUGGUGAAGCUUAUGAUUAUGAUCCAUUGAUCCAAACCAGAAGCUACUGAGAGUACAAUUUUUAACCAUGCUUUGUAAAAGGAAUGAAUCACUCUCAAUGUCAAAAAAAUCCGUACUAUCACCUAAACGAUGGAUGAAACUAAUGCAUAUUGCCUGUGGAAUGACAAAGUGUAUGAUUGUAUCUCAGGGGCCUUGGUUUUCAUCAGGACAAAAUGGUGGAUAUGAAAUGCUGGGUUGCAAUGUUUUACCAAGAAAGUUCAGGAGCAGAAUUUUGAUCCUCCAUCACACUAUAAAAGGAUUGAUGGAUUGUGACAACAUCCAAAAAAGACCGAGCCACCACCCUUGACUUUAGGCUAUGCAUAUUUCCUGUGUUUCCUUUAGGAAAGGAUAACCUUAUUGGUUUUUUCCACCCAUAAUACCGUAAUAAUUAGUAUUUCUUGUAUUCCUUGCUCUGCUCACCUCUAUAAAUGCAGUUGCCAUGGCAUGGUGGGGUGGCUGUUCUCUCACAUUUGCCAGGUCAACCAAAAAGCUAGCACUUGUAUUUCUUUUUAAUUUCCCAUGUACAGCGUAGGAUCUGGAGAAGGAUCAUGGAGAGGAUUCAUUUAGUUUGUUUUAAGAGGACAUUUUUAUCCAAAUGAAAAAUAGGAAGCUCAAAAUGAAAUGGAGGGAUCUAUUUAGUUGUUUUAAGAGGACAUUUUUGUCCAAAUGAAAAACAGGGAGCUCAGAAAUGACAAAAUUGUCUCCUAAAAACAAAUGGAGAGGAUCCAAGUCCGUAGGAUCUUGCCUAAGUUAGUGUUGUUGUAUCUGCUCAAAAAACACAAAAAUUUGUACAUUUCGUGAACAUGUAUAUCAUGGGAUUAUGUGGAAGUAUGCUUUUGAGAAGAGAUAGUCUAG